GAUGAACGCUGGCGGCGUGCCUAAUACAUGCAAGUAGAACGCUGAAGGAGGAGCUUGCUCUUCUGGAUGAGUUGCGAACGGGUGAGUAACGCGUAGGUAACCUGCCUGGUAGCGGGGGAUAACUAUUGGAAACGAUAGCUAAUACCGCAUGACAACAGUUAUUGCAUGAUAACUGUUUAAAAGGGGCAACUGCUCCACUACCAGAUGGACCUGCGUUGUAUUAGCUAGUUGGUGAGGUAACGGCUCACCAAGGCGACGGUACAUAGCCGACCUGAGAGGGUGAUCGGCCAAACUGGGAAGGAGACACGGCCCAGACUCCUACGGGAGGCAGCAGUAGGGGAUCUUCGGCAAUGGACGGAAGGCUGAACGAGGAACGCCGCGUGAGUGAAGAAGGUUUUCGGAUCGGAAAGCUCUGUUGUAAGAGAAGAACGAGUGUGAGAGUGGAAAGUUCACACUGUGACGGUAUCUAACCAGAAAGGGACGGCUAACUACGUG
rnacentral:rRNA from 1 species